AUAAAAGUUGUCUGUACAUUGGAAUACUUCUAUAGACUGUGGGGUCCCCCUUUACCCAACUUGGAUGAAACUGUCCAUUUGGAAGAUUCCUUGAAAUAACUCCAAAGAUGUCUACUCUAGUAUUAUAGGAGAUGCUGAGAAAUCAGAAAAAACUUCUCUGGGAAGGGGACACCCGACUUGAGCCUUGAAUGAAGAUAAAGAUUCUAAGAGACAGAGGGGAAGGCAAAGUAUACUCUGGGCAAGACCUACAGUCCAUGCAAAAAUAUGGAGGCAGGAGAUAUCAUGACAAAUCAAGAACAGCAAAUCUGCUAGCUGGCUGGAACAUAGCAGAUGUGAAGGAAGGAAGAAAAAUUCAGAACAAGAGGAAAAACCAUAGAAGAAGGGAAAAAAACAGAAAAAAA